UGGCAACUCCCAAAUUUUCAUUUUUUUAGAGUCGACAACCUAAAAUUUUAUUUUUCAAAAAGAUGGUUUCGACAAACAGGAAGAAGAAGAAGAAGAAGAAGAACAACAACAACAACAAUAAGCAAAUGUUAGAGCUAUGGCCAUUGGUGAUAGAGUGUUGGUUCUCAUACAGCGUUGAAACAUAUUUGGUUAUAAAGGUCUCUGCCAAUGAGUUGAGCUCCUUCAUCUUCACUGAUUCGGUUGUCUGUGCCUAUCAGUUGAUGACAUCCUUCAUCUUCAUUGAUUUGGUUAUAAAGGUCCCUCCCAAUGAGUUCAGCUCCUUUGUCUUCACCAAUUUCCAGUUGUGGUACCGAGAGAUUAUGGCCAAUGGCUCCAAAAGAGCCCGGGCCUUCUUCAAUCCCAACAUGACGAUGAUCUUCUCCAGGAACAAACACUCCCGUGCCUGGUGAUGAUAUUAACUGCCCAACGUAGAUAUAACAAUUAUUGCGUACCUGAAUGUGGACGGGGAUUGCCCUAGGAGGAACACUCUGAAUAACAUAUACUCUAGGGCCGCCAGCGACGAAGCUCCCUUCAUUCCCUCCGACGGGAGCACCAUUCCCACGACCUUGAGUCAUCAGGCAAACAAGGUUGCUUGAGAGAUGGUUUUCGGGUCGGUAAGGGUUGUACCCGUAUAUGCAAAUACGAUACGAUAGAACCCCCCAUAUUAUAAUUUUAUAUCUUGAAUGGUGUAUUUUGGGCUAAAUUAUUAGAAGAAUCCUUUAACUAUUUUGUAUUUGUUAAAUAAGCUCUAUACUUUUGUUACAUUCAAAUAAUGAGUUCUGUUUAAUUAAUUAAAGGUUAGACUUAUUUGGAUAACAUUUUAAAGUUUAAAAAGUUUUAUUUGAAUAUCAAUUAAAAUUUAAAUGAUUAUUCAAUAAAGUAACAAAGUUCAAGUGUUUAUGAAAAAUUAUUUGAUAUAUGGUAUCAUGCAUAACAAACGUAUUAGUUGUUAGCCAAUUUUCAAUGUUAUUGCACAACAUUUUGAAGUAUUAAUGUCGUAAAGGGAGGGUUUGGAUUGUUAGAAGAAACGUUAGAGGACUUGGUGUUGGAGAUGGAAGCAGAGAUUGGUUUAAUUUAAGCAUGCAGCAUCUCAGGAUUUAUAUGUCUUCAAGCUUAGCAAAGACAUGGGUGGAGGCGGGACAGAAUUUGGUAGAGGAAAACAAGUGAAUAGAAUCUAACCUAAUUAUACUUGAAGCAUAUAAAUGCAUCUCAAAAAUUAGACUUGAGGUUCAGACCAACUUUCUUAAUUUGUGCCUGUCUCAUCAAAUAAGACAGAGAAAGCAGGUUGAAGGUGUUGAGAUAUGUUGUGUGCCCUUGAUCAUGGGUGUUUCGUCUUUUUGAAGAGUUUGGAAUUGAGCAGCACAUACCAAGACAAUCCAAUCAACUUCGGAGAUGAUAUAUAGUGGUCUUGUCGAAAUUAAUACCGCUGCCUCCAUCAACCAAACCGUAACUCCUAACCGGUGACUCAUCAUGUCUCCGGCGUAGUGGAAUCUGGAUGGGAAUAUCACGGCUCCGACACUGCCUCCACGGUGAAGGAGAAUACACAAGUAAGCAGAAAAACUACCCCCACCACCAGCAUUACCACCAAGGCUGGUCUUUAUUAGAGAAGCAGAAGCGUGAAAAGGUUUAUGCGUUAUGGCAUGUUAUGAAGAUUCACA
rnacentral:lncRNA from 1 species